UUGCCUUGGCACCUGGACUGGAGCUGCCCAAGCUAGGCCAGGCCAGGCCCAUUGGCCCUCUCUCUUACUCAGGCUGUCCUCAUUAGCAUCAUCUGUGACCUCAUCUGGUUUCUAGAGUAGGAAAGAGUUUCCACUUGUCUAGUCCCAUUUCCUAGGGUAGAAUAUAGAAACGGCUUCAGUGGGUGGAUGUCCUCUCAGCUGUGAAAGGUUCAGCAUAGCUCUGGCCCCAGGCCAGCCAGAAGUGCAUUCAUCUCCCAGGCUUCUGCCACGAUGCACCUUCCAGCCGCCAUAGGAGACUACACAGACUUCUAUUCCUCUCGGCAGCAUGCUACCAACGUCGGAAUCAUGUUCAGGGACAAGGAGAAUGCAUUGAUGCCAAAUUGGCUGCACUUACCAUUGGGCUACCAUGGCCGUGCCUCCUCUGUCGUGGUGUCUGGCACCCCAAUCCGAAGGCCCAUGGGACAGAUGAAACCUGAUGACUCUAAGCCUCCCGUAUAUGGUGCCUGCAAGCUCUUGGACAUGGAGCUGGAAAUGGCUUUUUUUGUAGGCCCUGGAAACAGAUUGGGAGAGCCGAUCCCCAUUUCCAAGGCCCAUGAGCACAUUUUUGGAAUGGUCCUUAUGAACGACUGGAGUGCACGAGACAUUCAGAAGUGGGAGUAUGUCCCUCUCGGGCCAUUCCUUGGGAAGAGUUUUGGGACCACUAUCUCUCCGUGGGUGGUGCCCAUGGAUGCUCUCAUGCCCUUUGCUGUGUCCAACCCGAAGCAGGACCCCAGGCCCCUGCCGUAUCUGUGCCAUGACGAGCCCUACACAUUUGACAUCAACCUCUCUGUUAACCUGAAAGG
rnacentral:sRNA from 1 species